GAAGCAAUGAUGAGAUGAAAGCACAAUGCUGUGUUGGGCAGUGGGUUUAUACCGUGAGCUUUAACAUUAUUAAACGACUUCUCCUUCCACCGAGCUAA